rnacentral:rRNA from 1 species
ACGGAGGAUGCAAGCGUUAUCCGGAAUGAUUGGGCGUAAAGGGUCCGCAGGUGGCAUUGUAAGUCUGCUGUUAAAGAAUCUAGCUCAACUAGAUAAAAGCAGUGGAAACUACAAAGCUAGAGUAUGGUCGGGGCAGAGGGAAUUCCUGGUGUAGCGGUGAAAUGCGUAGAUAUCAGGAAGAACACCGGUGGCGAAGGCGCUCUGCUAGGCCAAAACUGACACUGAGGGACGAAAGCUAGGGGAGCGAAUGGG